CAGUAGCCACGGGAAUACAGAGGGUGCGAGCGUUAAUCGGAUUUACUGGGCGUAAAGCGUGCGUAGGCGGCUUUUUAAGUCGGAUGUGAAAUCCCUGAGCUUAACUUAGGAAUUGCAUUCGAUACUGGGAAGCUAGAGUAUGGGAGAGGAUGGUAGAAUUCCAGGUGUAGCGGUGAAAUGCGUAGAGAUCUGGAGGAAUACCGAUGGCGAAGGCAGCCAUCUGGCCUAAUACUGACGCUGAGGUACGAAAGCAUGGGGAGCAAACAGGAUUAGAUACCCCAGUAGUCCCUGUCUUUUAUAA
rnacentral:rRNA from 1 species